UGCGGGGGGGUAAGCGUUGUUCGGAAUUACUGGGCGUAAAGGGCUCGUAGGCGGCCAACUAAGUCAGACGUGAAAUCCCUCAGCUUAACUGGGGAACUGCGUCUGAUACUGGAUGGCUUGGAUUUGGGAGAGGGAUGCGGAAUUCCAGGUGUAGCGGUGAAAUGCGUAGAUAUCUGGAGGAACACCGGUGGCGAAGGCGGGUCUCUGGGCCGAUACUGACGCUGAGGAGCGAAAGCGUGGGGAGCGAACAGGA
rnacentral:rRNA from 1 species